rnacentral:misc_RNA from 1 species
GUAGGUGAACCUGCGGAAGGAUCAUUAAAGAACGCCCCGUUUUUUGAAAUGGGUAAUUCCCAAACCGUGUCUACAUACCUUUGUUGCUUUGGCAGGCCGCCUUUUAGGCGUCGGCUCCGGCUGACUGCGCCUGCCAGAGGACCCAAACUCGUUUUGUUUAGUGUCGUCUGAGUACUAUAUAAUAGUUAAAACUUUCAACAACGGAUCUCUUGGUUCUG